rnacentral:sRNA from 1 species
AAUAAGCCCGCGUGAGGAAUAGUAGCGGAAAUCCUUGUUAAGCUAUUAAUUACAAGUGUUUAAAAGAUUGCAGCGGUUAGCCUGCCUUUGC